AGUGGCUACUGUUUGGCUGAACACUUUACCGAGUUGUCCUAUGGUGCUCUUCACCGAGUGUCAUAGGCGAUCGGUACGUUUACUUUGAAAAAAUUAGAGUGCUUAAAGCAGGCGUAACGCCCGAAUAAUGUUGCAUGGAAUAAUGGAAUAGGACCUCGGUUCUAUUUUGUUGGUCUUCGGAGCAUGAGGUAAUGAUCAAUAGGGACAGACGAGGACAUUCGUAUUGCGGAGCUAGAGGUGAAAUUCUUGGACCUUCGCAAGACGAACUAAGGCGAAAGCAUUUGUCAAGAAUGUUUUCAUUAAUCAAGAACGAAAGUUAGAGGUUCGAAGGCGAUCAGAUACCGCCCUAGUUCUAACCAUAAACGAUGCCAACCAGUAAUUCGCCUGAGUUCCCUAAAUGACUCGGCGAGGGACUUCCCGGGAAACCAAAGUGUUUCGGUUCCAGGGGAAGUAUGGUUGCAAAGCUGAAAACUUAAAGAAAAUUGACGGAAAGGGCACCCCCCAGGAGUGGAGCCUGCGGCUUAAUUUGACUCACCACGGGAAAACUCACCCGGCCCGGACACUGGAAGGAUUGACAGAUUGAGAGCUCUUUCUUGAUUCAGUGGGUGGUGGUGCAUGGCCGUUCUUAGUUGGUGGAGUGAUUUGUCUGGUUAAUUCCGAUAACGAACGAGACUCUAGCCUACUAAAUAGAUUGUCGGCUUACAAACGUCGACAAGACUUCUUAGAGGGACAGGCGG
rnacentral:rRNA from 1 species